GUGGUGCGGAGCCCUCAGCUGAGCGAGGCUGCUCUGCUGCCUGCAGAAAUAAUAGACAAUUACAGCCAGGGAGAGAAGAGCGGCGCAGAAGAGCUCUUCCCUCCUCUCCCCCCCUCCACCCUUCGCCUCUGUCCUCUCUUCUGCUCUCUCUCUCUCGCUCUCUCUCUUGCUCACACUCACUCUCUCUCUCUCUCUCUAACACACACACACAGAGGCACGCUCGCUGGCUGGCUUUCACCCUCCCUUGGCCAAUUACAAUAUUCAUCAGCAGGAAGAUAGCAAGGCUGCCUGUGCAUUUGUUGAGCGUGUCUUUCCCCCUCUCUGUCUCUCUUUCUCUCCUUCUAGCUAACCAGCAGGGGGGAAAGGGGGGCAAAAGGAGAGAGAGGGGGGGCUCAGUUUCCUCGCCUUUGCGACUGAGGUCCCAGGAUUCUUGAGCUGUGCCCAGCUGACAAGCUUUUGAAGAUGGCACAAUAACAGUUCAGUGAUGCCUGACCAUGACAGCACAGCCCUCUUAAGCAGGCAAACCAAGAGAAGAAGAGUUGACAUUGGAGUGAAAAGGACGGUAGGGACAGCAUCUGCAUUUUUUGCUAAGGCGCGAGCAUCGUUUUUUAGUGCCAUGAAUCCCCAAGGUUCCGAGCAGGAUGUUGAGUAUUCAGUGGUGCAGCAUGCAGAUGGGGAGAAGUCAAAUGUGCUUCGCAAGCUGCUGAAGAGGGCAAACUCAUAUGAAGAUGCCAUGAUGCCUUUUCCAGGAGCAACCAUAAUUUCCCAGCUGUUGAAAAAUAACAUGAACAAAAAUGGUGGCACCGAGCCCAGUUUUCAAGCCAGUGGUCUCUCCAGCACAGGCUCCGAAGUGCAUCAGGAGGAUGUGUGCAGCAACUCUUCAAGAGACAGCCCCCAAGAGUGUCUUUCCCCUUUUGGCAGGCCUACGAUGAGCCAGUUUGAUAUGGAUCGGUUAUGCGAUGAGCACCUGAGAGCCAAGCGUGCCCGGGUUGAGAAUAUCAUUCGGGGGAUGAGCCAUUCCCCCAGUGUGGCAUUAAGGGGCAAUGAAAAUGAGAGAGAGAUGGCUCCACAGUCUGUGAGUCCCCGAGAAAGUUACCGAGAGAAUAAACGCAAGCAAAAGCUGCCGCAGCAGCAGCAACAGAGUUUCCAGCAGCUGGUUUCGGCAAGGAAAGAACAGAAGCGAGAGGAGCGCAGACAGCUGAAGCAGCAGCUGGAGGACAUGCAGAAACAGCUGCGCCAGCUGCAGGAAAAGUUCUACCAAAUCUAUGACAGCACAGAUUCUGAGAAUGACGAGGAUGCCGGUAACCUGUCUGAAGACAGCCUGCGUUCAGAAAUGCUGGAUGCUAGAGCGAGAGAUUCUGUGGGUAGGUCAGAUAACGAAAUGUGCGAGCUAGACCCGGGGCAGUUCCUUGAUCGUGCACGGGCCCUGAUCAGGGAGCAGGAGAUAGCGGAAAACAAACCUCGAAAAGAAGGCCAUAAAGAAAAAGAGCAUGGGCCAAACUCGUUCCACCCCGAAGGCAAGCAUUUGGCUGAGACGUUGAAGCAGGAACUGAACACUGCCAUGUCUCAGGUUGUGGACACAGUGGUCAAGGUUUUUUCUUCGAAACCUCCCCGCCAACUUCCUCAGGUCUUCCCACCUCUUCAGAUCCCCCAAGCAAGAUUUGCUGUGAAUGGGGAAAACCACAACUUCCACACAGCCAACCAGCGCCUCCAGUGCUUUGGUGAUGUCAUCAUUCCAAACCCGCUAGACACCUUUGGCAAUGUGCCGCUGCCUAAUUCCACUGACCAAACAGAAGCACUGCCCCUAGUUGUCCGCAAAAAUUCAUCUGACCAGUCUGCCUCUGCCCCUCCACCUGGCAGCCAUCAUGCUUCUCUCCAUCAGUCUCCUCUGUCUGCUGCAACAGGCUUCACUUCCUCUUCCUUCCGCCAUCCAUUUCCACUUCCCCUUAUGGCAUACCCAUUUCAGAAUCCUUUAGGCGCUCCUUCUGCCUCCUUUCCAGGAAAAGACAGAGCUUCCCCUGAAUCCUUAGAUUUAACAAGGGAGACCACAAGUCUGAGGACCAAGAUGUCAUCACACCACAUGAACCAUCACCCUUGUUCACCAGCACACCCACCCAGCACUGCUGAAAGCCUCUCUAUAUCUCUCAUCAAAUCUGAGUGUGGUGACCUACAAGAUAUUUCGGAAAUCUCACCUUACUCGGGGAGUGCAAUGCAGGAAGGGUUGUCACCUAAUCACUUGAAAAAGGCAAAGCUCAUGUUCUUUUAUACCCGGUACCCAAGUUCCAAUAUGCUGAAAACGUACUUCUCAGAUGUAAAGCAUCAUUCAUCCAGAAGAAGCCCAAAGUGCUUUACAAACAGCCAAUAUAGGGACCAUUCACCCACCACUGAAAGGCAGCCACUUCCGUGGUGGAAGGCAACAGCCAUUCGGGGUCAGCAACAUCACACACCAGUAGAUUUCAACAGAUGCAUUACCUCUCAGCUCAUCAAGUGGUUUAGCAAUUUCCGUGAGUUCUACUAUAUUCAGAUGGAGAAGUAUGCACGUCAAGCCAUCAAUGAUGGGGUAACAAGCACUGAAGAGCUGUCUAUAACCAGAGACUGUGAGCUGUACAGGGCCCUCAACAUGCACUACAAUAAAGCAAAUGAUUUUGAGCAGGUUCCAGAGAGAUUCCUGGAAGUGGCUCAGAUCACAUUACGAGAGUUUUUCAAUGCCAUUAUCGCAGGCAAAGAUGUUGAUCCUUCCUGGAAGAAGGCCAUAUACAAGGUCAUCUGUAAACUGGACAGUGAAGUUCCUGAGAUUUUCAAAUCCCCAAACUGCCUCCAAGAGCUCCUCCAUGAAUAGAGAUUUCAACCACUAUUUAUGAAUGUAUAAAACAGUAGCAGAUCCCCUUUUGACACCCAAGUUGUGUGCGUGUGUGUCUAUAUUAAUUUCAUAUAUAUAUAUAUUUGUGUGUGUAUAUAUAUGUAUGUAUGCAUAUAUAUAUACAUAUAUGAAUGAAAUCAGAUCAGAAUCCCUUGUGAUUUUUUUUACUGAGGUCAGUAACAAAUGGAUAAGUAUUUUAACUCCAGCCUUUGUUUUACUUUUAACAUUUAGAGUGGGGGAAACUGCUUCACCCCCACCCCCACCCGGGACAAUGAUGCUUUAAAGUGGGUACAAGCCUGUUUGGGGAAGUUUAGGGCAUUACUUUUUUUUUUUUAACCUUUUGCCAGAGUUAUUACUCACUGCAGACUGGCAUUUUUUGGAAGACAAAUGUCACAGCACAGUCCUAUAGCCAAUGAUGUCUCUUUGUCUCAACUCUAAGCUCUCAACUCUACAGAGGCAUUUCACAAGCUUCUAGCUUUCUAAAUUUUAGCCUGACUGUUUAAGGCAGGAUGUAGAUUUUUAUGUCCUAGCUUAGACAUAAACACCCCUUUUUUACUCAAAGGACAUCAAAUGGUAUCCACUCAAGUCUUCAAGCUUUCCUCUUACAAGAACCAGCUAUGCUCUGAAUCAUUUCCCCUGGUUUCCAAUGUCCUGUAUGCUGAUGCAAAAAUGUAACAUCCCGGCCCGGAUACCUUAAUGCAAUGGUUCCCAGUAAUGUUUGCCACCUUUCAGUCUACACGCAGUCAGUUUGGGGAAAGUGCUAUCACUGACUUAAAUUUGAAUAAUAUGGUCAGUUUUAUUAAAACAGUAGCAUUUCACUCUCCAUAGAGGAAAACAUUAUGGCCUGAUCCAGCCACAGCUGAGCAUUUUAGCCCCAUUAUUUUAAUGGGAGAGCAAAAAAAUGUGAUAAACCUCCUCUGUUGAAACAAUGAGACUUUAAAGCUGAAAUUCUUUGCAUUCAUAUUUGAAGGUAAGUUCCACUGAAUGCAGGGAUAUUUAUUUCCGAACGUAUGUCCGUGAGAUUAAUCUGCUUAGUGCUUUAACUUUGGCUGGAUUGGGCCCUUACACUAUCGCUGAAUGGUCAGGUCUUGGUAAUGUUCAAAGUGGCAUUUUUUUCAAAAUGUAUUCUUCCUUUCCCUAAGCCCCUAGGCUGUGUAUAUAUUUGAUAGUUGAUCUUUUUACCUGGAAAGGCAAUGAUUUUAAUUUCUACCUGAGAAGCAUUGUAAGAUACCCUUUGCUUUAUUCCAAAAUUACUGAGGCAAAAAAAUUAAAAAAUAAAUAAAAAGCAACAUGUCAUCUCAAACUUCAAAUAAUCUUCCUGUCUAUUAGAAAUUGAAUAGGCAUUUUAAUGGAAUAUUAUUUAAGAAUUAAACUAGGCACAACAUAUACAUGGCACACAUCUAGAGGAAAAUGGGCAUAGCUAGGUCUCAUUGACUGAAGCCAAUGGGACUUACAUGGUUAACUGUGUUUGCUAAUUUACUUGGACUUGAGCAUGCUUAACUUACUCUGGAUUGUGCCUAUAAAUCAUGCAUAAACUUUGUAGCUGUUCUAUUGGCUAGGAAAGCAGAAGCUAGCCGUGUUUAUUAUUUCCUCAAAUCUAAGUGAAGCAUUAACAAUGAACAGAACUGAUCAAACAACUUCUCUUCUACAACAAAAGUUAGCAGCAAACAAAAUAUGAGUGCAGUUCAUAAUAUACAGAAGACUGGGGUUCAUCAGAGCUUUUCAGUUAUUUCACCUCUGGACAACUUUUUCCGUCACCUUCUGGUGAAGAGCCACAUGAAUCAGUUUGUGUCCUGACGACUGAAUUGCCCACAUACAAUUUCAUUUGGUCUCAGGGAUGAACUAGAUGUAAUGCUAAAAUGUGCUGCUGCCACUGAAAAUGGCAGCUGUGCAUAUAAUUCCCCACCCCUCCAUAACGUUUAGUAGCCCAUACUUGUGUAUCGUCAUCAUGAUGAUGCCCUGGGUUUCCCUCAGGCAGCAGGUGGAGCAGGUAAGCACAGAACAUCUGUCCAAACAUGGUAGGUUCUACUAGAUGUUGGCAAGGAGGAGCUAAAGGCACAGUUGCCAUUUUCAGCAAUAAUGGAGUAUUUUACACGUCCAGUUGGUCCGGAUUUUGAAACUUACUGAAAUAGGAAUGCAUGUCAAAGGAGUCCAGGACAGAUCUUCUCCACAUGGUGACCAAAAAAAGUUUACUUUAAGAGUGUAAGAUAAUAAUAACAAUAAUAAUAAGAGUUGUAUGGAUCCAGCUGAAGUCAAUUAACAUAAUCAUCAGCCUAAUUCUUAAAAACAUGCUGCUAGUUUUUGUGCUUUCUUCAGUGGGUCUCCUUUCCUUUUGGCAUUUUUGAAAAGGUGUAGUGUCCAGUAGAGUUUUUCUGAUAUGCUGUGGCACUAAGUGUUUGUCGUUUUCUCUGGUGUCUCUUGUACAGAUGCAGUAAGAAUUUAUUGUUAUCUGAGCUAGCAUUUUUCAUUACUCAUAUCUUCCCCCGCUCCCCACAGGCAGUUUGAUACAGAUUUGAUCCUACUUAGCCAAGGUGUCUGUUUUACAGUUGAGCAAAGUGUUUUCUUUAGGAGCCUCACUUUCCCCGCUUAUUGAAUUUGAUUUUUUUUAAAAAUCGUAUUUUGACUUUGGAGAGUGAAAGUUUACUCCAUGUGACUCUUUUUAAAAAAAUGCUGACCUAGUCACUACAAUGACACUUCAUUUAGAAAAAUACUACUGAGAGACAGAAAGGGAUGAAAGCAGUUAUUGUUUGUGGAAAGCCUUAAAAACCUGCUGAUUUUUUAAAAACAACCUAAGGCCCGCAGGCCAUGAUCCAGAGAUCCUUUUUCACAUGCAGAAAUGAGUUUCAGCAAGACCUUUGCACAAGAAAACAAGCCAGAUGCACCCCCGGCAGCAUACACUACAUACAGAAGCCCAACUUUACACAAGCUUAAUUUCCUUCUUUUCUUUUGCUAACCGCUUUCUGGAUUGUAGCCCCUGCCAUUAUUUUCCAUAGACCUUGGUUGUGUCUCUGGAGUGUAGGCAAUGCAACCAGUCGCACAAGAGAAGGACCACCAAUUUCACUAUGUAUUACAAUCGAAACCAAUCAUGCCACUGGAAAUUUGGCAUGAUUUAACUUCCUCUUAAGAACUUAGUAUAAUGUUUGCAUUCAUGCAGUUGAAUAAAUGCCACUCUUUUGUUUUGUGUGCAACAUGCAGACUACAGUUGGAUUUCCAGAGGUCAGGUUUUGCUGAUUAUCAAUGCUCUGACACUCCCCCAAUCCUCAUGUUCAGGAUGCUUGUUCCUGUCUCAAUGCACUAGCAUUGGUCCGGGUGCCCUGGCAGACUGAUGCAGGAAGCAGAGCUACAACAAUAAUGACAUGAGAUGACAUCCAGACUGAUGCUGUCCUUGUGCAGACAGGUUGGGCUAACCAGACACGGUGAGUUAGGAGCGUGCAUUCUAGACCUGGGUUGUACUAAUGCAACUGUGAAAGUGCAGCGUUAGUCUGGAUGUUAAUAUCUCUAAAUCCUUGUACAAGCAAAUACCUCUUCACUGAUGUUCCUCAUGACCAUUGCUGCUUGGAAUAAUGUCUGGAUACCGCUCAUAUACUGGUGGUAUUUCCAGCUAAGAGGAGCUGAAAACUCUGGAUGCAUGCUUAUUUUCUUCCAGUUAGGGAGAACAUUCCAGUUCUAAUAUAUGGCAUAGUUGUGCUGAAGCUCAUUUGGUAUGUUGAAAUUUGAAAAGUUGUCUGAGAGCUCUUGAGUGUAUACAUAAGAACAGCCCUGAUGGAUCAGGCCCAAGGCCUAUCUAAUCCAACAUCCUGUUUCCCACAGUGGCCCACCAGAUGCCUCUGAGAAUCCCACAGGCAAGAAGUGAGGGAAUACCCUCUCUCCUGUUGUUGCUCCCCUGUAACUGGUGUUCAGAGGCAUCUUGCCUCUGAGGCUGGAGGUGGCCUGUAGCCAACAGACUAGAAGCCAUUGAUAAAAUGGCUACUAUGUGACAUGAGACAUUGCUCUAUGUGUUAUCACAAGAGCUUACACAUGAAAAUUUCCCAUUUGGUUGUGUACACAGUUAACCAUAUCCAAACCGAAAUACAUUUCAGGGGCAACCUCUCACAUAGAAGUUCUAUUGUUUCACCUUGGACACCCACACACACACAAUAUGUAGACAUACUUCUAGAAACUAUUCCUAAUCCUAUGUUUUUGCUUUUUAUUGUUAGUAUCAUUAGCGCUAUUAUAGUAUCUUGUUGGUAUCCUUAGCGCUGAAAUGUGAUCAACUCAAUUAAGUAAACACUAGACCUUAUGGCAUUUAUGUACGUAUUUAUACAUAGAGUGCAGACAUAUUUCACUAGUGAAUUACACACAGAAAUGCUAAAAGUAAGAAAAAGCAGGCAAACCAAUUUUGUUACAAGCUUUAAAAAAGAAUAAAAAUUUAUUAUUUGAGUAGUUCUUUUCCCUUGGUAAUUGCAUUAUAUAGCCAUAAAAAUGGCCCUGCUGGAUCAGGCCCAAGGCCCAUCUAGUCCAGCAUUCUGUUUCACACAGUGGCCCACCAGAUGCCACUGGAAGCCACAGGCAGGAGUUGAGGGCAUGCCCUCUCUCCUUCUGUUACCACCCUGCAACUUGUAUUCAGAGGCAUCCUGCCUUUGAGGCUGGAGGUGGCCUGCAGCCCUCAGACUAGUAGCCGUUGAUAGUCCUCUCCUCCAUGAAGUUAUCCAAACCCUUCUUCAAGCCAUCCAGGUUGUUGGCUGUCACCACAUCUUGUGGCAGAGAAUUCCACAAGUUGAUUAUGUGUUGUGUGAAAAAGUACUUCCGCUUGUUGGCCCUAAAUUUUGUGGCAAUCCGUUUCAUAGGAUGACCCUUGGUUCUAGUGUUAUGGGAGAGGGAGAAAAAUGUCUCUUACUCACUUUCUCCACACCAUGCAUGAUUUUAUAGGCCUCUAUCAUGUCUCCCCGACAGCCGUAUUGCCUUUGUGCCUCCCAUGACAUUAAGAUAAAUAUAUAUAUAAAGGAGGCAAUCUUGGCUUUCCAGCUGUUUUUGAACUACAUUGUGGCUGAGAAUGUUGGGAGUUAUAGUUCAACAGCAGCUGGAGAGUCAAAGUUGCCUACCCCGAUAUAAAGCAUCAUACUUUGCUAUCUUUUAAAUGUGUUUCAUCUUUUUCCCGAUCUCUAUAAGAUUCCUUUUUUUAAAAGUGUGUUCUUGCCCUGAUCCUUCAGAUGUACUUUACUUGUCAGGGCUCCAUUACAAUCUCAUUGUCAAAAGUGAAUGUUAAACAUCAGGAAUGUAGGCUUGACAUUAACACAGCAGGCCAUGUCAUGCCCAAGCUAACCAGGGGAUGUGGCAAAGAUGAGCUGGUCCUCAGAGCCCAGAUGUGAAGAGGAUACGCACAGUACAGUUGUAAACAGCAUUACUGGGAACUGCAGUUCUGUGAAGAGAGAGUUCUCUGUGAAUGAGAAAGAAUUCUCAGCACCCUUACCUAACUACAAUUUUCAGAAUUCUUUCAGAGGGUCCAUUGGACAAAACCCUCUGUACAAUUGAUAUAAGCGUCUAGUCCAAGUAUACUCACUCACUCUCUCUCGCUACUAAAUUCUGCACAGCAGCACCUCUGCAAGUGUUGCGUCUGAUGUUGAAGGCUGUCGGCACAGCGGCCCUGGCCCACACUGCUAGGUCAGCUUGUAACACCGCUGUUGGUGUGACUUGGAGCAAACGCGUCAAUAACCAUGCCCCUCCCCAUUCCCAAGCACUUACUUCUCGGCAAAGCUGUCCAUAGGGUUUGGUCACAAAAGGCAGAACACUGCUUUUAUUGUAGAACAGAAAAGUUUACGUCAGGAGAGUAGUUCAAACAAUGCUGAUGUUCAUUUCCUACAAUUCAUUUUUUUCCCUUCCCUGCAUAGAAACUUGAGGUCAUAGUGUGUGCCUACACCUUAAAUGCACCAGCGGAAGGAUUAGGGGGGGAAAUCCUUCAAAUUACCAGUUAUUCCCUCCCCACUCUGCCCCCACAAGUACAAUUGUUCUUGUGCCUUCUGUGGCUGACAAUUUUCAUCCCUUUGAACUCCCUCACCCAUUACUACAGCUGCAAUAAACACUAGGUUAUCCCCCACUUUUCCCCCCUCUCUCAGCUGUUUGACAUAAUGUUGAUAGCUAUGCAUAUUUUGUGUCUUUUUAAGGAAAAUUUAAAAAAACAAAACAAAAGCAGGAGAAUAAGUUUUUGAAGAAGAGAAUUUUUAGAACAGUUUGAUAAUGCAAAUUAUUUUUUUCUGUCGUUUGAGCAGCAUUUCAAUUUUGAAAAUUUCUUGUAGGAGCCAAUUUUUUGUAACAGUGGUGCAGAUCUUGUGUUUUCUUAGCCUAAUGAAAAGUAGUAUAGAAGCAAUAUUUCAGACGUAUUAUAUAUAUGUGUAUACAUAUACAUACAUAUAUACCCACAUAUACACAUUAUAAUAUAUAUAUAUAUGUAUAUAUACUUAUACACACACAAUAUGCGUGUGAAGUGAAAAGCUUACAUUUUUUCCAAUGUAGAUUAAGAACCUAUUUUAGACAUUUGUUAUGUUUUGUGAGAAGAAUGUUCUAUUUGAAACUAUGAAACAUUUAAUUCUUACUGUAUCUCUGGUUGUGUAAUGGAAACGCUUCACAUUUAAAUGGUUUUUUUUUAAGUGAAAGAUAUUAGAAUGUAGUAAUUAUUUAAGGAAGUGUUCACCCAUAUAUUUCUGAGGAUUGCCUUGUGCCUCUGAGUAUUAUUUAAUAUAAAGUGUUUUAAGUUUGCGGAAUCAUUGUUACUGUACCAGGUAUGUGGGUGAACAUCUAUAGCUGAGGGGAACUUUUAUAAAGCAAUGUAUAUAUUCUGCUUCACAGCUCUUCUUGAAUAAAAGGCAUAUGAUUUUAAUAGCUACAUUCUGAGAACAUCUGCUAAAUUUAUAAGAAACGCUGCAGUAACUGUAUAGAUAGUUGAAAGUAUUCUUUUAAAAAAACAAAACAAUAAACACGCAGCUCACUACUUUUAAAAGACAGAUUUCUUUCAUCAUAUGUCCAGGACAUGGAUGAUCCAAUUUCUGUAAGAUUGCAGAUUUUCUUUUCUAUGUGCACAAAGUAAUUUAUUGGCAAAGGGUUCCCCCCACCCCAUCCCAGGUUAAUAUUAAUCUAAGAAAUAAAAGUGAAGAUUUUGUGGCUUUAAAUAUAGGACUUUCACCAGCAGAACUAAAAGUUAUAAAUAAAUAAAUAAAAUAUAUAUAUAUACAUAAAUAAAUAUAAAUAUAUAUAAAGAGAAGUGGUUUGCAACCCCCCAAAAUGAGCAUUGUACAUGGGAAGUAAUCAAAAAUUGAAACAAACAAACAAACCUUCCUCUAUUUGUCAUGUGUAUUAUAUAGUAAUUAUUGGUGUUCUAGUGGAAAGAUUUCUUUUGGGUAUCUAUUUCUGUGUUUGGAAUUUUUUAAUAAGCAUUGUUUUCAAAAAGCUCCCCUUAAAGAAUGUAACUGGUUUAUCUGAGUAAGCAGUUACUGUAUUGCACUUAAAUGUUCUGUUGAAGGAAAUGCAAUUUUGUUUUCUGUAGAACUGUUGGUUGUAAAUCAUUGAAAAUGCUCAUAUUUUGAGCUGGGAUGAAAACUGGUGUUUAACCUUUGUGUCUUCUUAGGACCGGCUCGGUUUCAAAGUAAAAAAGGUGGUGACUUCAGCCAUCCUUGUCCUCUGAGGUGCAAUUAUUUUCUCUAUCCAGCCAGAAUUACUAAAAUAUACAAGGAAGAUACAAGCAAAUCUUACAUUUUACCACAAAUCAUCCCGGUUGGACUUUCUUAUGGUAUUAAUUGAAUUAAUUAGUUAGUUUUUUGUGAGGAAACCCCACAUUCUUUUAAUGUGAAAUAUUCUCACCAUAUAAUCUGAACUCAGAUUCAGAGAAACACAUUUCUUCAACUGGAAGAGUCAAAGGUUAAAACAUUGACUAAUAUUCUCCCAGUGACUUCUCAUAUGUAUAUAGUUACAAAAGUGACAGAACACUGCCUUUAUAUUAUUUAGCAAUAUGUUGUAAAUAGCAUUAUUAAACUCUUUUUUGUAAUAAAGACCCUUUAAUUUGAAGUUAGUACAAUAACUGAAUUAAUAAAGUCAAUUUUGAUUUUUUUUUUUUAAUUUUAUUUUUUAGCUAGAGGCAAUUUCAACUGUGGAUUUUUUUUGUCUAUUGUUCUGAAGACUUUGCAUAAUUUAUUGGUUUAAUUUAUCCUAAUUUAUUUGAUGGUGUACAAUUUUGUAUUGCCAAGGAUGUACUGUAAUAUUAAUUGAUGAUGUGAUAAAACAUGAAGACUCCCCUGUUUGUAUGGAGGGAAAAAAGGUGCAGUAGACAAUUGAUUGAAAAAGUUACAAUUCUAGCUUGGCAGCUACUAAAUUGAAGAAAAAUCAGGAAAAAUUGUUUGGGGGUGGGUGCGGGGAAGGGAGGGAAUCUUAUUUUGUGUGUUUUAAGCUUUUGUAUACUCUCCAGACCUUUCCCUUUUUGCUUUGUACCACUUAAAGGAUACAGUAGUUCAAUUGCCUUGUGUGCCUUCCAUCUUCUCUAAACUGAAUGUAUGUGCAGUAUAUAUGCAAGCUUGUGCGAAAUAAAAUAUAAAUUACAAGCUCA